AGCAGCCGCGGUAAUUCCAGCUCCAAUAGCGUAUAUUAAAGUUGUUGCAGUUAAAAAGCUCGUAGUUGAAUUUCGGGGUUCUACCGUUGGUCGGGCUAACCAGUCUGUACUAGCGUGUAGAAUUCCUACCUUCUGGGGAACCAUCAUGUUAUUAAUUUAGCGUGGUGGGAAACCAGGACCUUUACCUCGAAAAAAUUAGAGUGUUCAAAGCAGGCUUACGUCUGAAUACAUUAGCAUGGAAUAAUAGAAUAGGACGGUGGUCCUGUUUUGUUGGUUUCUGAAUCACCGUAAUGAUUAAUAGGGAUAGUUGGGGGCAUUAGUAUUCAAUUGUCAGAGGUGAAAUUCUUGGAUUUAUUGAAGACUAACUUCUGCGAAAGCAUUUGCCAAGGAUGUUUUCAUUAAUCAAGAACGAAAGUUAGGGGAUCGAAGACGAUCAGAUACCAUCGUAGUCUUAACCAUAAACUAUGCCGACUAGGGAUCGGACGAUGUUAAAUUUAUUGUACUCGUUUCGGCGCCUUAC
rnacentral:rRNA from 1 species